rnacentral:tRNA from 1 species
GUAAGUUGGCAGAAUAGUGCCACCGACUUAGGAUCGGUUCAUGGAUAAGUCCACUUACUACAUGC